rnacentral:rRNA from 1 species
CAUUCCACGUUCUCCGUGCCGCAGCUAACGCAUUAAGUACCCCGCCUGGGGAGUACGGCCGCAAGGCUAAAACUCAAAGGAAUUGACGGGGCCCCGCACAAGCGGCGGAGCAUGCGGAUUAAUUCGAUGCAACGCGAAGAACCUUACCUGGGUUUGACAUAUGCCGGAAACAUCUAGAGAUAGGUGCCCCUUUAUGGUCGGUUUACAGGUGGUGCAUGGCUGUCGUCAGCUCGUGUCGUGAGAUGUUGGGUUAAGUCCCGCAACGAGCGCAACCCUCGUCCUAUGUUGCCAGCGGGUAAUGCCGGGGACUCAUAGGAGACCGCCGGGGUCAACUCGGAGGAAGGUGGGGAUGACGUCAAGUCAUCAUGCCCCUUAUGUCCAGGGCUUCACGCAUGCUACAAUGGCCGGUACAAAGAGCUGCGAACCUGCAAGGGUGAGCGAAUCUCAAAAAGCCGGUCUCAGUUCGGAUUGGGGUCUGCAACUCGACCCCAUGAAGUCGGAGUCGCUAGUAAUCGCAGAAGAGCAACGCUGCGGUGAAUACG